CUGACAUGGACCCGGCUGCCGCAGAGAUUCAAAACUCCCCCACUCUGUUCGGGGAAGUUCUCAGCAAAGAUCUGGAAGAGCCACCAAGGGCCUCCUGAAAGCCCUCGAGGAACUGGGAUAUCGGGUGUCCUGGAAGAAAGCUCAACUCUGAAGAACCAAGGUAACCUACUUGGGCUAUAUUCUUGAAAAG